GAAUCUUCAAGGUACAGUGGUGGAUCUUGCAUACACUUGAAUCAUUGAAAACUUAGAUUCUCGAGUUUAUUUCUAUGAGAGGGUAAAUAUAAUGACAGAUUCUAUGACAGUAGAAUUCACAGAGCCCUGACUAUAUUGAGUGCCAAGGAAAAAGAGGGUAGCACCAGACAAUCUCAUGAAGGAACUCAGCCACUGAGGAGCAAGAAUUCUACCUGAUGAAAUUGGAUAUCCUCUACUCAAGAGCCCAAGGAAAU